rnacentral:rRNA from 1 species
UAGUAUUGAUAUACUUUUUUUAUAAUUUGUAUAUUUUAUAGAAAUAACUUUAUUUUUAGUAGAUUUUAUUGAAAGAAUAUUUUUUGUGUUAGUUAAUAGUACUGUAAGGGCUUAUUUUUAUUAAAUUGGAAGGAGAUUUAAUUUAUUGUACCUUUUGUAUCAGGGUUGAUUAAUAUUGUAUUAUGUAUAUAAUUUUCCCGAAACUAGAGGAGAUAUUAUUUAUGUUAGUUUAUGUUUCAAAAUAAUUGAUUAUAUAGUAAUAGUAAUGAAAAGUUAUUCGUUUCUAGAUAUCUGGUUUCCUAAGACUUGAAUUUAAUUCAAAAUUAUUAAUAUUAAUUCUUGAUUUUAAUUAAGAAUUAAUUUUUAAUUAAAUAAUUUUGGGGAUAAGCCCAAGAUUAUGUUUAAAAUUAAUUAAAUAUGAUUAGCUUAAGUAGGCUUAAGAUCAGCCAUCAUUAAUUUCGUUAUAGAUUGUACUUAUUAUAGUUUAAUUUUUUAUAAAAUUUAAUUUUAUAUUAGGAUUAUUUUUGUAAUUUUAUACUUUUUGUGAAUAUGAUUAUAUUAGUAUAUUUGGUAUUUAAAAUAUAGUAAUUCGGCAAAUAUUGUGUUCGCCUGUUUAACAAAAACAUGUCCUUUUGUUUAAUUUAUAUAAGGUUUAACCUGCCCAAUGAAUUUUUUAAUGGCCGCAGUAUAUUAACUGUGCUAAGGUAGCAUAAUCAUUUGUCUUUUAAUUGUGGGCUUGUAUGAAGGGUUGGACGAGGCAUAUGCUUUCUUUAUUUUAAUAAUGGAAUUUAUCUUUUUAGUUAAAAGACUGAGAUUUAUCUGUGGGACGAGAAGACCCUAUAGAUCUUUAUAAUUCAUGGUUUUAAGAUUUUUAGUUAAUUUAAUUUUUAAUUCCUUUGGAUUAUUUAAUUGGGGUGAUUGCAGAGAAUGAAUAACUUCUGUUUUAUUUUUUCAUUUAUAGGUGUAAUUAUGAUCCAUUUAUAGUGAUUAUAAGAUUAAGUUACCUUAGGGAUAACAGCGUAAUUUUCUCGGAGAGUUCAUAUUGAUGGGAGAGUUUGCGACCUCGAUGUUGGAUUAAAAUAAGUGGUAGGUGUAGCAGUUUAUUAACUAGGUCUGUUCGACCUUUAAUUUUUUACAUGAUCUGAGUUCAGACCGGCGUGAGCCAGGUCAGUUUCUAUCUUCAGUUUAGGUAUUAUACCUUAGUACGAAAGGACCAGGUAUAAGGAAUACUUUUCUUUUUGAAUGAUUAAUAUU